UAAACACCACCACUGGACAACAUGGUAGAAGGUCGGAAUAAACACCACCAGUGUACAACAUGGUAGAAGGUCGGACUAAACACCACCAGCAGACAACAUGGUAGAAGGUCGGACUAAACACCACCAGCAGACAACAUGGUAGAAGGUCGGACUAAACACCACCACUGGACAACAUGGUAGAAGGUCGGAAUAAACACCACCACUGGACAACAUGGUAGAAGGUCGGAAUAAACACCACCACUGGACAACAUGGAAGAAGGUCGGAAUAAACACCACCAGUGGACAACAUGGUAGAAGGUCGGACUAAACACCACCAGUGGACAACAUGGUAGAAGGUCGGACUAAACACCACCAGUGUACAACAUGGUAGAAGGUCGGAAUAAACACCACCAGUGUACAACAUGGUAGAAGGUCGGACUAAACACCACCAGCAGACAACAUGGUAGAAGGUCGGACUAAACACCACCAGCAGACAACAUGGUAGAAGGUCGGACUAAACACCACCAGCAGACAACAUGGUAGAAGGUCGGACUAAACACCACCAGUGGACAACAUGGCAGAAGGUCGGACUAAACACCACCAGCAGACAACAUGGUAGAAGGUCGGACUAAACAUCACCAGCAGACAACAUGGUAGAAGGUCGGACUAAACACCACCAGCAGACAACAUGGUAGAAGGUCGGACUAAACACCACCAGCAGACAACAUGGAAGGUUACAAGGCUGUUCAUGAUCUUUGAUGUCGUGUUACAUAAGAAGAACUUGCCUGUCAGUGAAUGUUAGACUUAAUGUAGACUUAAUGUUAGACUUAAUGUAGACUUAAUGUUAAACUUAAUGUAGACUUAAUGUAGACUUAAUGUAGACUUAAUGAACUCAGUCUCCGUACCUGGGAUACGCUUGCAAUCUGGCACUUGUUUAUGUCAUCCAACUGUGAGGCCUAAUGUUAUGGUUUUAUCUACUGUAAACAGCAUAUUAAUAAGUAUAAGCCCAAAGUUGUGAUGUUAGACGCUAUACACAGUAAAUAAAUGUUAUCGAGGUGAUAGGCCUACUCUCCAUGAAUAUGCCUAAGGUCAUAGUUUUAGCAAUAGUACAUAUUUCCGUGUUAAUAAAAACGAUGCCACGUC